ensembl:lncRNA
UAACGAUCAAAGUACAUUUCUGUCUCUUGAAUACUCCACAAUGCCCAGCAGCACUUGCCGAGUAAUGGACACAUGGCCUGUGCUUAAUAAGAGGUAGUACAGCAAUGCAUUUGGAGCAUCAGCUCUGUGACCAGCCACUGCCAGCUCUGCAACUCAUGGCCUGUGUGACCUCGGGUAGCACUGUGGUAUCCAAUACACUGAAUCUUUACAGUAUUUACCUGUCAAGGGAUUGGGUCUCUGAAAGCUAUAUGAGACAGAUAAUUGAAAAACCCAAUUUGUGUUUGAGUGAAAGAGUGUAUCAGUGGAUAUUAUGAGAAGCAGUAUGGAAUAGUGACGACUGAUAGAGCACCAAUUUGGGAGUUAAACGUGGUGGGUUGCAGCCCCCACUCAACUGCUUAACCACUAUGCCACAUCCAAAUAAAAAGCCUCAGUUUUCCUUCUGUAAAACUGAAUGAUGGUCUCCUAUUUGCCUACCUCACAAGGGUGUUCAAAUGAUCAAAUGAAAUAAUGUUGCUGAAAGAUUUUGAAAUCUGAUGGACUAUGCAACAUCGGAACACCAACAACCAAAUUUUAUUACCCAAGUGUAAUAUCACAGAAGAGUUGUCAUAAAAUAACAAGACCACAAGAAUAUAAAAUAAUUUACCAACAUCUAUAUUUAAAUUUGUCAUCACCUAUAUCUUAUUAUCUCCUAUUCAUAUUUAAUUGGGGUGUUUUAGAGAUAAUACCUUACCCCCAAAGGGCAGAACAGAGAAAACCAGGCUCUUGAGAGAAAUAUGUUUAGGUCCAUGGACUUCUACUGUCUAUAAAAUCCUACUGAGAAGAUUACUGAAAUGAGUCACAUUGGUUCCAGUAAUGAAUUUAUUCCCACUUCUGCUUCACUGACUGUGCCUUUAACUGUGUGGAUCACAACAAAUGGUGGAAAGUUCUUAAAAAGUUGGGAAUAUCAGACCACCUUACCUGCCUCCUGAAAAACCUGUAUGCAGGUCAAGAAGCAACAGUUAGAACCAGACAUGGAACAACGGACUGGUUCAAAACUGGAAAAGGAACAUGAUAAGGCUGUAUAUUGUCACCUUGUUUAUUUAACUUAUAUGCAGAGUACAUCAUGCUAAAUGCCAGGCUGGAUGACUCACAAGCUGGAAUCAAGAUUGUUAGGAGAAAUAUCAGUAACUUCAGAUAUGCAGAUGAUACCACCCUUAUGGCAGAAAGUGAAGGGGAACCAAAGAGCCUCUUGAUGAAGGUGAAAGAGAAGAGUGAAAAAGCUGGCUUAAAACUCAACCUUCAAAAAACUAAGAUCAUGGUAUCUGGUCCCAUCAUUUCAUGGGGAAUAGAUGGGCAAAAAGUGGAAGUAGUGACAGAUUUUUAUUUUGGGGGCUCCAAAAUCACUGUGGAUGGUGACUGAGGCCAUGAAAUUAAAAGAUGCUUGCUCUUGGAAGGAAAUCUAUGACAAACCUAGACAAUAUAUUAAAAAAGCAGAGAUAGCACUUUGCUGACAAAGGUCUGUGUAGUCAAAGCUAUGGUUUUUCCAGUAGUCAUAUAUGGAUGUGAGAGUUGGACCAUAAAGAAGGCUGAGCACUAAAGAAUUGAUGCUUUUGAACUGUGGUGCUGGAGAAGACUCUCCAGCAAGGAGAUCAAACCAAUCAAUCCUAAAGGAAAUCAACUCUGAAUAUUCAUUGGAAGGACUGAUGCUGAUGCUGAAGCUCCAAUACUUUGGCCAUCUGAUGCAAAGAGCCAACUCAUUGGAAAAGACCCUGAUGCUGGGAAAGACUGAAGGCAAAAGGAGAAGAGGGCAGGAGAGGAUGAGAUGGUUAGACAAAAUCACUGACUCGAUGGACAUGAGUUUGAGCAAACUCCGGGAGACAGUGAAGGACAGGGAAGCCUGGUGUGCUGCAUGAAGUUCAUGGAAAGAGUCGGACACGACUUAGGGACUGAACAACAAAGGAAUUUUUCCAAAGGUUCUGUCUUCAUGCUUAGAUGUACAUUAAGUUAUGAAGCUUAAAGUGGUUAUAGGAAGGGGUUUAGAGCUUGAAAGAUGGGUUCAAAUCUUCCUCUACUUCCCUCUCUGUACUGAGGAUAAAAAGAUAAUCAUGUAGGACAAUUGUUGGGAGGAUUAAAUGAGCUCAUGUAUAUAAGGCAGUAUCCCCUUCAGGAUGUGGCUGAAAAUUAGCCUUAGUUGAAAUUUCCCAACAGGUGAGGCAAGGUUGUUGCGCUUUUGUUCUUAAAUUGUGAUCUCAGUUACCUCAGUUUAACUCCUCUUCACUUUGAAAUUUAAUUUUAUUUACAUUACAAAUUUAUGUCUCACAGUUCUGGAGGCUGGGAAGUCCAUGAUCAAGAUGCUGACUGAGUCGGUUCCUGGUGAGGGACCUCUUCCUGGCUUGUGGGUGAACACAUUCUUACUCUAAGCCCCAGGUUUGGAGAGGGGGAUCUCAUCUCUCUCAUUUUUUAUGCUUAUUUGUUUUUUUUUUUUUUGGCCAUGCUGUGUGGUAUAUAGUAUCUUAAUUCCUUGACCAGAAAUGGAACCUGUACCCCUUGCUCAGGGAUCAAACCCACGCCCCCUGAAGUGGAAGCACAGAGUCUUAACCACUGGAUUGCCAGGGAAGUCCUCCUCUUCACUUUUUAAAAAGUGUUGGUCUAGCCAUUCUGUCAGGACCUUCAGCUAUCAUAUGUCUAGCUGUCACUUCUGAAUAUAUGACCGAGGCAGCUAUGAUACGUUCAGUGCACAAAGAGUGUUGCCACCACUACAAAAUUUUAUAGGCGCCAAGUGCUUCUGAAAUCUUGACUUCUGAUUUGGAAACUGAGAAAGAGCAGCCUGGUUAAUUUGUCUGAUUCAUUAGCAAGGAAUCAGAGAGAGGUUUUCAAAUAAAAUCCAAUUCCGGCCAUGCCAUCUUGGUCUCAUGUAAAUGCUGGAAAUAGAUACGGUUAAAACACGGUGUCACAGCUCUAGGUUUCUGCAGAAUUUUUGCUCUCCAUAUUCUGCUGCACUAGAAUUCUGGUCUAUCUUAUAGUAAUAAUGAGUCAAAGAAUAGAUUUACUCUGUGCAUUUGCACACUGAUAACUGGGUUCCUGGGAAUUAGUUUGCUUUGCAAAGUACACGUUUUUCUCUACAAACGUAUCUUCUAUAAAGGUCUCUCCAUGACUAGGAAGGAGGUGAAAGAGCUAGGAAGAGGGACAAGAGAACAAUGUCCCUUCUGUUCUAGUAAUAUGGGGAGGCUUCCUGGGGGCAUAUGCCUGGAAAAGACGGAGAUGAACACACGGAAUUUUACUGUCAUAGAUUUCUUAGUUGCACUACAUACUUUUGUUUACUCAAAGAAGGUCAUUAAGGUCCCGCUACCAGGCAACACACCCUAGUAGCUUGGGAGCUAGACUCCUGUGUUUAAAUCCCAGUUCUGCCACUACAACUUGUAUGACCUUGGGCAAGUUAUCUAAUCUCUCUGUAUCUCCAUGUCCUCACCUGUAAAAUAGGGAUAAUAAUAGUACCUGUCUCAUAGAGUUGUUGGGGUUAAGUAAAUUAAUUAUUGAUAUCUCUCUAUCUCUAUGUCUUUUAACUGUUGCUAGGCCGUUGUAGUGAUAGUCGCUCAGUUGUGUCUGACUCUUUGCAACCCCAUGGACUGGAGCCCACCAGGCUCCUCUGUCCAUGGAAUUCUCCAGGCAAGAAUACUGAAGUGGGUUGCCAUUUCCUUCUCCAAGGCCAUUGUAAGAGUUCAAUAAAUAUUAGUUAUUAUUAUUACUCUCACCUAAUGUCUGUAAUUGGUAUUAAAAAUAGGAGUUCUGUGGAUCUUAAAGACAGAGAUUUUCUGAUAGGUUAUCAGUCUUUGGGGUUAAGAGGCUAAAGCAAAACAAGAACACUGAGGUUAUAAUCUUCUCAGUCAUGACAAAUAGUUCAAACUUGGGAGGCUGAUGCCUAUAACUGAUUUAGGAGGCAGAGACCAAACUAUGUUUAAUGGUAAAGAAAAUGAAUGCUAUUAUGUAUCUGCUAAAUAAGCCAUCCUUUCAAAAUGGAAAACAUCAUAGUCAUUUCAGUUUGCCAUUGAGCUUGGCCAAUGCCGCUGGAGCAGCACAAAUGGAACGUAAUAUACAAGUAUACACAUAAUGUACUGUUCUAAAUUCAGAGCGCAAUUCUCUAACAUGCCUAUUCUCUGAAAUUUUCAGAGAGAUGAUGCAUAGAAUAAGGUGGCUAUUAAGCUAAAAAUGAACAACAGUAAAACAGAGAAGGGACUGCAAGGCCUGAUGGAGUUGAAGAGAAACCAUUAAAUAUCUAGGUAGUAGAAAUGGAGGUGGAAAUUGUGUUUGCCUUCUUACUUUAUGGGAAUGCUAAACCUACUGCAGUUUGGAGUUCACAGAUUAAAAUCUUUAAAGAAACUAAAAAAACGAAUAAGAUGUCCAUAGAUGGAAAACUUACAUGUUUGCUCAAUAACCCAUUGUUUAGCAAUACUCCUAAGCAAAUGACUUUUGUGUAACCUAAAUUCCUUACCCUGUAGCCAACAUCUGCCUAAAAGAUGCUUCUUCAACUAUAGAAAAAAACCCGCAUAGCUAGAAUUCCUGGGGAAUGGGUAGGUUUUAUUGUUGUUUUAGUUGCUCUGCUUAGUUUGGACUAAGAAGAAAAUUUAUUUCAAGCUUUCUGUCCACAGACUUUUUGGGAGUCAGGGGGAAGGCUUAGAGAUACAGUAGAGAGAAUCUUCUGUACUUCUGUACAAUUUUAAUCUUUGAAAAAUUCAGGACUCUCCAGGGCCUCAGGGUUCAUCAGGAGGAAGGUGAUUAUGACUGGGCAGGACAGAAAUGUAGAAAGUUUAGAAGACCUGAACUAAUCUUCAUUUCUGCCCCCUCAAUCUUGGAAGUAGUGCUUUUAUGGGAGAUGGAGGGGUGGAAAGACAUUCAAUAUCAAAGUCUUUCCUCAUUAUCUCAGGGUGGGAAAAAAAAAGCAGUUCUAUCCUCCUACACUGUUGUUGGGAAUGUAAGUUGGUAUAGUCACUGUGGAAAACAGUAUGGAGGUUCUUCAGAAAACUAAAAAUACAGUUACCAUAUGAUCCAGCAGUCUCACUUCUGGGCAUAUAUCCAGACAAAACUCUAACUUAAAAAGAAACAUGCACCUCACUGGUCCUAGUAGCACUAUUCACAAUAGUCAAGACAUGGAAACAACCCAAAUGUGCACUGGCAGAUGAAUGUAUAAAAAAUAUGUGGUACAUAUAUACAGUGGAGUACUACUCAGCCAUAAAAAGAAUGACGUGCCAUUUGCAGCAACACGGAUGGACCUGGAGAUUACCACACUAAGUAAAGUCAGUCAGAAAGAUGACUAUCAUAUGAAAUCACCUAUAUGUGUAAUCUAAAAUAUGACACAAAUGAACCUAUCCACAAAACGGACAGACUCACAGACAGAAUAGACUGGCGGCUGCCAAGGUGGAGGGCAUUGAGGAAGGGAUGGAGCGGGAGGCUGGGGUUAGCAGAUGUAAGCCAUAAUAUAUGGAAUGGAUAAAUGGCAAGGUCCUACUAUAUAGCACAGAGAACCAUAUUCAGUAUCUUGUGAUAAACCAUAAUGGAAAAGAAUAUAAAAAAGGAAUACAUGAAUGUGUGUGUGUAUAUAUAUGUACAUAUAUCUCUACACAAAAUAUAUAUUGGAGUAGGACAUGGAAACCCACCCUAGUUUUCUUGCCUGAAGAAUUCCAUGGACAGAGGAGCUUGGCAGGCUAUGGUCCAUGGGGUCGCAAAGAGUUGGACACAACCAAAGUGAUUAGCAUAUAUAUAUAUAUGCCAUAUAUAUGCCAUAUAUAUAGUUCACUAUAUAUGCCAUAUAUAUGCCAUAUAUAUAUUAUAUAUAUAUAUAUAAUAUAUAUAUAUAACUGAGUCACUUUACAGCAGAAAUUAACAUAACAUUGUAAGUCAAUUAUACUUCAAAAAGGCAGUUAUGGUAAAUUUGAGGAUUGUGACAGUAGUUCUAGUUCCAAGUUUUAAAAAACAACUUUAGUGAAAUAUAAUUUACAUACUAUCAAAUUCAUCUAUUAAAAAUGUACAACUCAGUGAUUUGUAAGAUAUUCACAGAACUGUGCAACCAUUACUCUGGAAAGAAACCUAUUAAUAUUAGCAGCCACUCCCCAUCAACCUCAGGCAACCACUAAUCUACUUUCUAUGUCUAUGGAUCUGCCUUUUCUGGAGAGUUCACACAAAUGGAAUCAUGCAACAUGGGGUCUUCAGUGAUUUGCCUUUUUCACUUAGCAUAAUGUUUUCAAGUUUAACUGAUGUUACAGGAUGUGUCAGUACUUCAUUUUUCUAACUGAUGUGUGAUAUGACUUUAUAGUCUGCCUUCCAUAUCUUUUGGUUCUGUAUCCACAGAUUUAAUCAACUGUAGAUACAAAAUAUUCUAAAAAAAAAAUUUUAGAGACUUCCAAAAAGCAAAACUGGAGUUUACUACAUGCUGGCAACUAUUUACACAGCAUAUAUGUUUUAUUUACAACUACUUACACAGUAUAUAUGUUUUACUUACAACUACUUACACAGCAUAUAUGUUUUAUUUACAACUACUUACACAGCACUUAUACUAUAUUUUUGGGCUUCCCUGGUGGCUCAGUCAGUGCUAAAGAAUCCACCUCCCAAUACAAGAGAUGUGGGUUUGAUUCCUGGGUUGGGAAAAUCCCUUGGAGAAGGAAAUAGCAAUUUAUUCCAGUAUUCUUGCCUGGGAAAUCCCAGGGACAGAGAAGCCUGGUGGGCUACUGUACAUGGGGUCACAAAAGAGCUGGACAUGACUUAGUGACUGAACAAUAUACUGUGUUAGGUAUUAUAAGUUAUCUACAGAUGAUUUAAAGUAUACAGGAGAAUGUGUGUAGGUUGUAUGAAAAUACUAUAUGAUUUCAUAUAAGGGAGUUGUGCAUCCCAGAAUUUUGGUAUCUGCUGGGGUUCUUGGAACCAAUCCCCUGUGGAUACUGAGGGACAAGUGUACAUGAAUAGAAUAUAUUUUAUUUAUCCAUUGAUUAGCUGAUGAACAUUUAGAUUAUUUCCACUUUUUGGUUGUUAAGAAUACUGUUUCUAUGCCAUCUUGAGAAAGAAAAAUGGAGCUAAAGGAAUCAAUCUUGCUGACUUCAGACUAUACUACAAAGCUAUAGUCAUCCAGACAGUAUUAUACUGGCACAAAAACAGAAAUAUAGAUCAAUGAAACAAAUAGAAAGCUCAGAGAUAAGCCCAUGCAUCUAUGGACAUGUUAUUUUGAUACAGGAGGCAAGAAUAUACAGUGGAGAAAAGAUAGUCUCUUCAAUAAGUGUUGCUGAGAAAACUGAGCAGCUAUGUGUAAAAGAAUGAAACUAGAAUAUCUCCUUAUACUGAACACAAAAAUAAACUCAAAAUGGUUUAAAGACUUAAAUGUAAGGCCAGAAAAUGUAAAGCUCUUAGAGGAAAACACAGGCAGAACAAUCCCUGACGUAAAUCACAACAAGAUCUCUAUAGCCCACUUCCUAGAAUAAUGGAAAUAAAAGACAAAAAUAAAUGUGACCUAAUUAAACUUAAAAGCUUUUGUACAGCAAAGGAAACUAUAAAUAGAGUGAAAAGACAAUCCUCAGAUAGGAGAAAAUAAUAGUAAAUGAAACAAAUGACAAAGGAUUGAAUUCCAAAAUAUACAAGCUACUCAUGCAGCUCAAUACCAGAAAAACAAUCCAAUCAAAAGUGGGCAGAAGAUCUAAACAGAUAUUUCUCCAAAGAAGACAUACACACAGCUAAUAAACACCUGAAAAGAUGCUCAACAUUACUCAUGAUUAGAGAAAUGCAAAUCAAAACUACAAUAAUACCACCUCACACUGAUCAGAAAGGCUAUCAUCAAAAAAUCUACAAACAAUAAAAGCUGCAAAGUGUGUGGAGAAAAGGGAACCUUCUUGCAUUGUUGGUGGGAAUGUAAAUUGAUACAGCUACUAUGGAGAACAGUGUGGAGAUUCCUUAAAAAACUAGGAAUAAAACCACCAUAUGGUUUUAUUAGUAGUGAGUAGUGAGUCCAACAAACUCACUACUGGGCAUAUAGCCGGAGGGAACCAUAACUGAAAAAGACACAUGUACCCCAGUGUUCAUUACAGCACUAUUUAUAAUAGCUACAACAUGGAAACAACCUAGAUAUUCAUUGAGAGAAGAACGGAUAAAGAAGUUGUGGUACACAUAUACAAUGGAAUAUUACUCAGCCAUAAAAGGGAACACAUUUGAGUCAGUUCUAAUAAGGUAGAUAAACCUAGGACCUGUUGUACAGAGUGAUGUAAGUCAGAAGAAGCAAAGCAAAUAUCAUAUAUUAAUAUAUAUUGAAUCUAGAAAGCUGGUACUGAUGAACAUAUGUACAGGGCAGCAGUGGAAACCCAGACAUAGAGAACAGACUUGUGGACACAGUGGGGGAAGGAGAGGGUGGGACAAACAGAGAGAGCAGUGUGGAAACUUACACACACCACAGAAACAGA